UCAUGAUGAUAACGAUGAUAAUGAUGAUAAUGAUAAUGAUCAUGAUGAUGAUGACGAUCAUGAUCAUGAUGAUCAUAAUGGUGAUCAUGAUGAUCA